UGAAAUUCUAAUUAAACUACUCCUUG
rnacentral:tRNA from 2 species